AUUGAACGCUGGCGGCAGGCCUAACACAUGCAAGUCGAGCGGAUGAAGGGAGCUUGCUCCUGGAUUCAGCGGCGGACGGGUGAGUAAUGCCUAGGAAUCUGCCUGGUAGUGGGGGAUAACGUCCGGAAACGGGCGCUAAUACCGCAUACGUCCUGAGGGAGAAAGUGGGGGAUCUUCGGACCUCACGCUAUCAGAUGAGCCUAGGUCGGAUUAGCUAGUUGGUGGGGUAAAGGCCUACCAAGGCGACGAUCCGUAACUGGUCUGAGAGGAUGAUCAGUCACACUGGAACUGAGACACGGUCCAGACUCCUACGGGAGGCAGCAGUGGGGAAUAUUGGACAAUGGGCGAGAGCCUGAUCCAGCCAUGCCGCGUGUGUGAAGAAGGUCUUCGGAUUGUAAAGCACUUUAAGUUGGGAGGAAGGACAGUAAGUUAAUACCUUGCUGUUUUGACGUUACCAACAGAAUAAGCACCGGCUAACUUCGUG
rnacentral:rRNA from 1 species